UUGAACGCUGGCGGUAUGCUUAACACAUGCAAGUCGAACGGAAACGAUACUAGCUUGCUAGUAGGCGUCGAGUGGCGGACGGGUGAGUAACGCGUAGGAAUCUGCCUGAUAGUGGGGGAUAGCCCGAAGAAAUUCGGAUUAAUACCGCAUAAUCUAUUCGUAGUAAAGUGGGGGACUUUCGAGCCUCACGCUAUCAGAUGAGCCUGCGUAAGAUUAGCUUGUUGGUAGGGUAAAAGCCUACCAAGGCGACGAUCUUUAGCUGGUCUGAGAGGAUGAUCAGCCACAUCGGGACUGAGACACGGCCCGAACUCCUACGGGAGGCAGCAGUGGGGAAUAUUGGACAAUGGGGGCAACCCUGAUCCAGCAAUACCGCGUGUGUGAAGAAGGCCUGAGGGUUGUAAAGCACUUUCAAUUGUGAAGAAAAGUUAGCGGUUAAUAACCGUUAGCCUUGACGUUAACUUUAGAAGAAGCACCGGCUAACUCCGUGCCAGCAGCCGCGGUAAUACGGAGGGUGCAAGCGUUAAUCGGAAUUACUGGGCGUAAAGCGUGCGUAGGCGGUUUAUUAAGUCAGAUGUGAAAGCCCCGGGCUUAACCUGGGAACUGCAUUUGAAACUGGUCAACUAGAGUAUGGUAGAGGAAAGUGGAAUUUCUGGUGUAGCGGUGAAAUGCGUAGAUAUCAGAAGGAACAUCAAUGGCGAAGGCAGCUUUCUGGACCAAUACUGACGCUGAGGUACGAAAGCGUGGGUAGCAAACAGGAUUAGAUACCCUGGUAGUCCACGCCGUAAACGAUGAUAACUAGCCGUUGGGGGGAUUUACCCUUUAGUGGCGAAGCUAACGCGUUAAGUUAUCCGCCUGGGGAGUACGGCCGCAAGGUUAAAACUCAAAGGAAUUGACGGGGACCCGCACAAGCGGUGGAGCAUGUGGUUUAAUUCGAUGCAACGCGAAGAACCUUACCUGGUCUUGACAUCCUGCGAACUUUCUAGAAAUAGAUUGGUGCCUUCGGGAACGCAGUGACAGGUGCUGCAUGGCUGUCGUCAGCUCGUGUCGUGAGAUGUUGGGUUAAGUCCCGUAACGAGCGCAACCCCUAUCCUUAUUUGCCAGCACAUCAUGGUGGGAACUAUAAGGAGACUGCCGGUGAUAAACCGGAGGAAGGCGGGGACGACGUCAAGUCAUCAUGGCCCUUACGACCAGGGCUACACACGUGCUACAAUGGGAAGGACAAAGAGCCGCGAAGCCGCGAGGUGUAGCUAAUCUCAUAAACCUUUUCGUAGUCCGGAUUGGAGUCUGCAACUCGACUCCAUGAAGUCGGAAUCGCUAGUAAUCGUAGAUCAGAAUGCUACGGUGAAUACGUUCCCGGGUCUUGUACACACCGCCC
rnacentral:rRNA from 1 species